UACGUAGGGGGCUAGCGUUGUCCGGAUUUAUUGGGCGUAAAGAGCGUGUAGGCGGCCAGGUAGGUCUGCUGUGAAAACUCGAGGCUUAACCUCGAGAUGUCGGCGGAAACCAUCUGGCCAGAGUCCGGAAGAGGAGAGUGGAAUUCCUGGUGUAGCGGUGAAAUGCGCAGAUAUCAGGAAGAACACCCGUGGCGAAGGCGGCUCUCUGGGACGGUACUGACGCUGAGACGCGAAAGCGUGGGGAGCGAACAGG
rnacentral:rRNA from 1 species